CAAACACACAGACACUGCAGCUUCUUUUUUUCAGAGUUAAAAUGUUGAAAUAAAUAUUUUUGAGCUUAAAGGAGCAAUAUGUAACUCUGGCACCUAGUGUUUAAAAUGGGUACUGCAGUCCAAAUUCAAAACAUUGUAGAGAGCUGUCUCCCCCUGCCCCCUCCUCUCUAGAAAACAUGCAGAGGCUUUUUAGGUCGGGUACAAUCACUUCUAUCUGAACCACUUCUCUUGACCGCUUCCAUCGCUGCAACACCUGUUGACCUGAUAACUGCUCUCAUAUCUGACAAACCGAGAGGCGUCCAAAACGGCCGUGUGGGGGUCGUCUUAAAACCGCCUACCUUCUCUGGUCCAAACAAAUCCAGAUCAUUCAGGAGCAGAAUCUAAAGUUAGAAGGAGGACAUACUGACUGCUGCACUGUUGUCAGAGAAGCCAGCACUUCAACAUAGCAUGUUUCCUUAAUGUCUGAUCAGAUAGUAAGAUCACUUUAUCAGUUCACUCACUACACAUCUCACUGAUUGAUCCUUUAAGGGAAGUUUCUGGAUCUUUCUUCUUCAUACCAAAAACUUUAGUACAGUCAAUUCUUUUAA